rnacentral:lncRNA from 1 species
AAAGAGACGACAUACCCUAAGUAAUGGAGAGGUACUCAGUUCCUAAGCCCCUAAAGCAACUGGGAAGCAAGCGAUUUGAAGUGGACACACUUACCCCAUGAUCAGGUCUCUCUGAAGGCAGCAGAUAUCUAUCAUCUCUCCUAAAAGUGCAGACCGGCGGAGGACUAGUUCUGAGUCACUUAAUGAGGCAGCAGGUAACAGUGGCGGUUUCCUAGGGGCGGGGCUAAGUAGCCAUGCGCACAGCCGGGCGCAGGCCCAGUUGCCUUUCUCGGCCCGCACUCCUACGUGGAAAAGGGGUGUGUGUCAGAGCGACAGCUGAUGAAACCACUUCAAAUGGAGGCAAUGGACAACCAUUGAAGAUUUUUGAGCAAGGAAGUAAAAUGGCAACACUAAGCAGAACAGAUUUGGAUUGUGGGCAUGGAAAAAGAACAAAGAUAAAUGAGUCUGUUAGGAUAUCGCUGCAACUGAAGCUGCAAUGGACAAGAGAAGUGAAAAUGGAAAUUAAUAAAACUCUUAAGUUUUCCAAGAGAAAAUAAGACUAAAGAAGCACAAAGGAGAAAAUUGAAAGCAUCUGUGAUUCCAGCAGCUGGAGGUAACCACUGGAUCUCUGAAUCCUCUGAUUUCCACUGCAGCCCUCAGUGACUGGAAGAACUUUGCAGGGCAGGCAUUCUAGGCAAGACCACUCUAUUCCGUAUUAUAAUGCUUAAAAGCUACACCCUCAUUUAGAACCUGAUGACCUAGAGAGAGUCACAUGGAAAC